CAAUAAAUCUCAAGUCUUUCUA
rnacentral:miRNA from 11 species